CAAUAGCGUAUAUUUAAGUUGUUGCAGUUAAAAAGCUCGUAGUUGGAUUUCGGGUGGGACGCAGCGGUCUCGCAUUGCGUUUGUACUGCUGCAGCCCUCCUUCUUGCCGGGGGCGGCCUCUCGGACUUCACUGUCUGGUGGUCAGAAUCGGCGAUGUUACUUUGAGUAAAUUAGAGUGUUCAAAGCAAGCUUACGCUCUGAAUAUAAUAGCAUGGGAUAACACGACAGGACUCUGGCCUAUCGUGUUGGUCUAUAGGACCAGAGUAAUGAUUAAGAGGGACAGUCGGGGGCAUUCGUAUUCCGUUGUCAGAGGUGAAAUUCUUGGAUUUACGGAAGACGAACAUCUGCGAAAGCAUUUGCCAAGGAUGUUUUCAUUGA
rnacentral:rRNA from 1 species